CUGUGCCGGCCGAUGUAGGUGUUCGCCCUUCCCUUCAUUAUUCUCCUGCACCUAUGUAUGAGAAAAUGAGUGCUUCAAGACGUGAACACGAGUGAAGCUUUCCCCAAGAUUCGUGCGAGGCAGAGAAGCAACAUGAAUGGGAAAGAUCUGCAUACUGAGACAGCUGAGUUACAUCCAAACAUACUUUUAGUCCUGGAGAUGACCAAACUUGGAGUUGAGAGGAUACACAGACAUCAUAGUCUUGCAAAAGCCACUGUCAAGAACUCCAUCACUACCAUGCAAGAACUUAUGACCCUUCCACCAACUAAAUUUAUCAAUAUUGACUUCACAGUGAUAUUUGGUAACUCAUGGUGCGUCAGUUUACAUUCCCUAUUUUAUUUAUAUUAUUUGCUAGUAGUCAUGAAAUUUAUAAUUUGAUUCUGAAACAACAUCCAUGUUCAUGAAAUUACAAAUUAACUCCCACAUACAAUUUUCCAUGGAAACCUACCUGACUC